rnacentral:tRNA from 1 species
GCCUCUGUAGCUCAGUUGGUUAGAGCCCUGUACCAGAAUUGCAGGACCACAGGUUCGAUUCCUGUCAGAGACC